UUAUUUUGAUAUUAUUUUUUAUUGUUGAAAAAAUUAAUAAUAAUUUAUUGUUAAUAAAAAUUAAAAUUUAUAAUAUUUUUAUUUUUAUUUUUUAGUUUUAAAUAAAAAUAAUAAAAUUUAUAUAUAUAAAAAUUUUGUUAUAAAUUAUAAUAGUUUAUUUGUUUAUUUUUUAUAAUAAAAAAUAGUAUUUUUUUUAUUUUUUUAUAAAAAAAAAUAAUUUAAUUAUAAUUAUUAGAAGUAAUUUUGUUAUUUAGAAUAAUAUAUUAAUAUAAAUAAAAAAAAUAUUAAAUAUUUUUUAAAUUUUUUGGGAAUUUAAAUUAUAAUUUUUU
rnacentral:rRNA from 1 species